UCGAGAAUCAUUCACAAUGGGGGAAACCCUGAUGGUGCGACGCCGCGUGGGGGAAUGAAGGUCUUCGGAUUGUAAACCCCUGUCAUGUGGGAGCAAAUUAAAAAGAUAGUACCACAAGAGGAAGAGACGGCUAACUCUGUGCCAGCAGCCGCGGUAAUACAGAGGUCUCAAGCGUUGUUCGGAAUCACUGGGCGUAAAGCGUGCGUAGGCGGUUUCGUAAGUCGUGUGUGAAAGGCGGGGGCUCAACCCCCGGACUGCACAUGAUACUGCGAGACUAGAGUAAUGGAGGGGGAACCGGAAUUCUCGGUGUAGCAGUGAAAUGCGUAGAUAUCGAGAGGAACACUCGUGGCGGAGGCGGGUUCCUGGACAUUAACUGACGCUGAGGCGCGAAGGCCAGGGGAGCGAAAGGG
rnacentral:rRNA from 1 species